UCAGGUGUCAAUGAUGAGCAAGAGGAUUUGCAUGGCCUGCAGUAGUCCUGGCGUCUUGGCCUUCCUGUCCAGAAUUGGAUGCAAGACAGAUGCGCGAUCAGCUUCGUAUCUGGACACAUAAAUCAGAGGCUCUCAAACUUGAGUGUGUGCUGAAUCACAUGGGGGGCUUGCUCAUAGACCCGCGCUGGGCCUUGCCCACAGAGUCGGAUUCGGGAGGAGGAGGUCUCGGAGCUCAUCUUCCUCCGCCCCCUCCCAACACAAUGGUGUACUGCAGAUGCAUUUUGCAGAUGUAAGCCUGAACCUCAAUGUCAGGCAAGCCAGAAGUGCACUCCAGAGAGCCAGGGCGAGCAGUCGGCCAGAAACACAGUGUGCGGAGGGGCUGAGAGCAGCGCUGAGCAGCCAUGAAGAACACGACCGUGUGGAGCCAGGUCAAGGAGCAAAUCAACUGCCUCCAGUCCCGGCACCAAGGGGCAAGGAAGCACCGAGGAACCUAAGACUGACUUCUAGAACCUCUCACUGAAACAUGGAAUCUACUCUACACCUUGAUUCUGGACUGCCAUUGUGACUUGCUUGGCUGGCAAAAUGUGAUGGAAGUCACGGAGGAACCAGUUCCAACUACCAACCUGCAGGAUUGUGAGCUGAAUUAAGUGAUUGUUGUUUCCAAACACUACCUUUUAGAGCGAUUCAUUGUGCAGAAAUAGCUAACUGAUGCACAGGCUUAGAGAGCAACCAGUCCGCAUUUGGAGCAAGAGGACUGAAGGCUCACCAACAGAUAUAUAUUCAAGAAACAAAAUGAUAUCAUUAGAUAAGCUAAUGUGCUUGAAUAUGUCGAAAGAAUAUUUACAUUUCUGGAGAAGAGUUAAAUAAUGAUUUACUUUUAGAUUCAUAGAAAGCUAGGCAAUUUAUAAUAAAAAAUUGUUCAAGAAUGACAAUGCAUCAUAAUAUUUGACAGGCCUCCUCUGUGAAUAUUCAUAUAACCAUAAUAAAGCAAACACUGAUUAUUG